GAAGGUUCAGAAUUGUGGACAGCUGUUGGUGUGUCUGGCAUCCAUGUCCUUUUUUGAUAAUCUUAAUGACAUGGCAUCUAGGAAGAUACCUUCAUGAUGGACUGGUUGGAUCUCCUUGCAGUCUAAGGGACUCUCAAGAGUCUUCUCCAACACCACAGUUCAAAAGCAUCAAUUCUUCUGCAUUCAGCUUUCUUUAUAUUUGAGUCACUUGGCACUCAUCAACUCUGCUGUACCACUCUGGACUCAGUAGGUGAUGAGAUAGGCCCUGCCCAGGCAUCAGUGUGUGCGAGGUGGGUAAGCAAGGCAAGUAUGUCAGUAAUCUCAUUGGACUCAGGACCACUCUCUGUAGAAACAUCUGAAGUGCUAGAAUGCCUCUCCCUGCAAGAAGAGGGAGGUGGGCUCUGAGUGGCACACUACAGAGUGGGUGGGGUGUGGAUGAUAGUGAGAUAGGAGUCCACCCCCAAGGGGCCAGCCCUGGCCCCUGCACUAGUGACUGGCCCUGUCCCCAAAGAGGCUGUGGCGUGGAACAUGGGACCUAGAAGGUCCUUUCAAGCUCGGUACAUAUUGGAUGCUAUGACUGUACCAUCAGGGAAUUCAGUGUUGACAGACUCAGAGGGUUGUCUUUGUCUUUGUCUUUUUGGUUUCUGCGUUACUUGACUCGAUGCUAUGCUGGCCCAGCAUGGUUCUUCUCUGAUGCUGGUUCAAGAAGCCCGCCUCCCCUGAACUGCUUCCUCCUGCUACCACUCAGUGUCUACCUAACAUCAUGCCGGGCUUCUCACCUCAGCCAUGGAGGAAAGACAGCUGUGUAGUUUGGGUCCUUAUAUGAUGUCCCAGCUCAAGCCAUCUUUCCAUUCUUUAGGUCACAUGCUAGUCACUCACUCCCAGGCAUGUGGAAUCUUAGUUCCCUGGCCAGGGAUCGAACCCAUUUCCCUGCAGUGGAAGCAAGGAGUCUUAACCACUGGACCACCAAGGAAGUCCCACUCCCAGGUGGAGACAUUGAAACCGAAAGGUGAAGAUAAGCUUCCUUGACAAAACCAGGCUAGGAUCCAGGUCUUUCAACUCCCAGUUUAAUACUCUUCUCCCUCCCUUCCUUAAAGAGUUUUGAUGAUCUGUCUGUAAAUGCUGGUCAUGACACAGGUUGGUCAUGUACUGGAGGAUACUUAGGAGACUAAAGCUCUAGUCCCCUUUCUUUCAGUAGAUGGAUAAUCCUGAAUGAUCCCUUUCUCUUCUGGAGCACAUUUUCCCCUUUUGUAAACUAAAGAGGCUGGACUGGAUGCUCUUUAGAGGCCUUUUUAC
ensembl:lncRNA